rnacentral:rRNA from 1 species
AGAGUUUGAUCAUGGCUCAGGACGAACGCUGACGGUGUGCUUUAGGCAUGCAAGUCGAACGAGAAAGCCCUUCGGGGUGAGUAAAGUGGCGAACGGGUGAGUAACACGUGGGCAACCUGCCCCUCGCAGGGGGACAACCGGAGGAAACUCCGGCUAAUACCCCGUACGCUUGUUGGGUCGCAUGGCUCGGCAAGGAAAGGUAGCUUCGGCCAUCCGGCGAGGGAUGGGCCCGCGUUGCAUUAGCUAGUUGGUGGGGUAACGGCCCACCAAGGCGACGAUGCGUAGCUGGUCUGAGAGGAUGAUCAGCCACACUGGGACUGAGACACGGCCCAGACUCCUACGGGAGGCAGCAGCCAGGAAUCUUGGGCAAUGGGCGAAAGCCUGACCCAGCAACACCGUGUGGGCGACGAAGGCCUUAGGGUCGUAAAGCCCUGUUGAUAGGGACGAAGGGCGAAGGGUUAAUAGCCCCUAGCUUGACGGUACCUUUCGAGGAAGCCCCGGCUAACUACGUGCCAGCAGCCGCGGUAAUACGUAGGGGGCGAGCGUUGUCCGGAAUUAUUGGGCGUAAAGAGCGUGUAGGCGGUUCGGUAAGUCUGCUGUGAAAUCCUGGGGCUCAACCCCGGGCGUGCAGCGGAUACUGCCGGGCUAGAGGAUGGUAGAGGCGAGUGGAAUUCCGAGUGUAGCGGUGAAAUGCGCAGAUAUCGGGAGGAACACCAGUAGCGAAGGCGGCUCGCUGGGCCAUUCCUGACGCUGAGACGCGAAAGCUAGGGGAGCGAACAGGAUUAGAUACCCCAGUAGUCC